UACGGAGGGUGCAAGCGUUAUCCGGAUUCACUGGGUUUAAAGGGUGCGUAGGCGGGCAGGUAAGUCAGUGGUGAAAUCCUAGAGCUUAACUCUAGAACUGCCAUUGAUACUAUCUGUCUUGAAUACUGUGGAGGUAAGCGGAAUAUGUCAUGUAGCGGUGAAAUGCUUAGAUAUGACAUAGAACACCUAUUGCGAAGGCAGCUUACUACGCAUAUAUUGACGCUGAGGCACGAAAGCGUGGGGAUCAAACAGG
rnacentral:rRNA from 1 species